rnacentral:piRNA from 1 species
UAAAAAUCUAGAGCCAGAAGG